GGGAACUACGAGCCAAGCUUAAAACCCAAAGGACUUGACGGUACCCCAUAUCCCCCUAGAGGAGCCUGUCCUAUAAUCGAUAACCCCCGUUUAACCUCACCAUUUUUAGCAACUCAGCCUGUAUACCUCCGUCGUCAGCUUACCACGUGAGCGCUAGUGAGCUCAAUGUUUUUCCAACUAAACGUCAGGUCAAGGUGCAACACAUGAAAUGGGAAGAGAUGGGCUACACUUUCUANAAUAGAUCACACGGAAGACUAACUAUGAAAUCUAGUCAGAAG
rnacentral:rRNA from 1 species